UACAGAGGGGGCAAGCGUUAUUCGGAAUUAUUGGGCGUAAAGGGCGCGUAGGCGGCCUGGCAAGUGGAUGGUGAAAUCCCUCGGCUUAACCGAGGAACUGCCAUCCAGACUGCUUGGCUUGAGACCGGGAGAGGUGAGUGGAAUUCCCAGUGUAGCGGUGAAAUGCGUAGAUAUUGGGAGGAACACCAGUGGCGAAGGCGGCUCCCUGGACCGGUACUGACGCUGAUGCGCGAAAGCGUGGGGAGCAAACAGG
rnacentral:rRNA from 1 species